rnacentral:rRNA from 1 species
GACGAACGCUGGCGGCGUGCUUAACACAUGCAAGUCGAACGGAAAGGCCCUGCUUUUGUGGGGUGCUCGAGUGGCGAACGGGUGAGUAACACGUGAGUAACCUGCCCUUGACUUUGGGAUAACUUCAGGAAACUGGGGCUAAUACCGGAUAGGAGCUCCUGCUGCAUGGUGGGGGUUGGAAAGUUUCGGCGGUUGGGGAUGGACUCGCGGCUUAUCAGCUUGUUGGUGGGGUAGUGGCUUACCAAGGCUUUGACGGGUAGCUGGCCUGAGAGGGUGACCGGCCACAUUGGGACUGAGAUACGGCCCAGACUCCUACGGGAGGUAGCAGUGGGGAAUAUUGCACAAUGGGCGGAAGCCUGAUGCAGCAACGCCGCGUGCGGGAUGACGGCCUUCGGGUUGUAAACCGCUUUCGCCUGUGACGAAGCGUGAGUGACGGUAAUGGGUAAAGAAGCACCGGCUAACUACGUG